rnacentral:rRNA from 1 species
UGCAGUCGAGCGGUAGCACAGAGAGCUUGCUCUCGGGUGACGAGCGGCGGACGGGUGAGUAAUGUCUGGGAAACUGCCUGAUGGAGGGGGAUAACUACUGGAAACGGUAGCUAAUACCGCAUAAUGUCGCAAGACCAAAGUGGGGGACCUUCGGGCCUCAUGCCAUCAGAUGUGCCCAGAUGGGAUUAGCUAGUAGGUGGGGUAACGGCUCACCUAGGCGACGAUCCCUAGCUGGUCUGAGAGGAUGACCAGCCACACUGGAACUGAGACACGGUCCAGACUCCUACGGGAGGCAGCAGUGGGGAAUAUUGCACAAUGGGCGCAAGCCUGAUGCAGCCAUGCCGCGUGUGUGAAGAAGGCCUUCGGGUUGUAAAGCACUUUCAGCGGGGAGGAAGGCGAUAAGGUUAAUAACCUUGGCGAUUGACGUUACCCGCAGAAGAAGCACCGGCUAACUCCGUGCCAGCAGCCGCGGUAAUACGGAGGGUGCAAGCGUUAAUCGGAAUUACUGGGCGUAAAGCGCACGCAGGCGGUCUGUCAAGUCGGAUGUGAAAUCCCCGGGCUCAACCUGGGAACUGCAUUCGAAACUGGCAGGCUAGAGUCUUGUAGAGGGGGGUAGAAUUCCAGGUGUAGCGGUGAAAUGCGUAGAGAUCUGGAGGAAUACCGGUGGCGAAGGCGGCCCCCUGGACAAAGACUGACGCUCAGGUGCGAAAGCGUGGGGAGCAAACAGGAUUAGAUACCCUGGUAGUCCACGCCGUAAACGAUGUCGAUUUGGAGGUUGUGCCCUUGAGGCGUGGCUUCCGGAGCUAACGCGUUAAAUCGACCGCCUGGGGAGUACGGCCGCAAGGUUAAAACUCAAAUGAAUUGACGGGGGCCCGCACAAGCGGUGGAGCAUGUGGUUUAAUUCGAUGCAACGCGAAGAACCUUACCUGGUCUUGACAUCCACAGAACUUUCCAGAGAUGGAUUGGUGCCUUCGGGAACUGUGAGACAGGUGCUGCAUGGCUGUCGUCAGCUCGUGUUGUGAAAUGUUGGGUUAAGUCCCGCAACGAGCGCAACCCUUAUCCUUUGUUGCCAGCGGUCCGGCCGGGAACUCAAAGGAGACUGCCAGUGAUAAACUGGAGGAAGGUGGGGAUGACGUCAAGUCAUCAUGGCCCUUACGACCAGGGCUACACACGUGCUACAAUGGCAUAUACAAAGAGAAGCGACCUCGCGAGAGCAAGCGGACCUCAUAAAGUAUGUCGUAGUCCGGAUUGGAGUCUGCAACUCGACUCCAUGAAGUCGGAAUCGCUAGUAAUCGUAGAUCAGAAUGCUACGGUGAAUACGUUCCCGGGCCUUGUACACACCGCCCGUCACACCAUGGGAGUGGGUUGCAAAAGAAGUAGGUAGCUUAACCUUCGGGAGGGCGCUU